UUAAGCAUAUCAAUAAGCGGAGGAAAAGAAACCAACAGGGAUUGCCCUAGUAACGGCGAGUGAAGCGGCAACAGCUCAAAUUUGAAAUCUGGCUCUUUCAGAGUCCGAGUUGUAAUUUGCAGAGGGCGCUUUGGCUUUGGCAGCGGUCCAAGUUCCUUGGAACAGGACGUCACAGAGGGUGAGAAUCCCGUACGUGGUCGCUAGCUAUUGCCGUGUAAAGCCCCUUCGACGAGUCGAGUUGUUUGGGAAUGCAGCUCUAAAUGGGAGGUAAAUUUCUUCUAAAGCUAAAUACUGGCCAGAGACCGAUAGCGCACAAGUAGAGUGAUCGAAAGAUGAAAAGCACUUUGGAAAGAGAGUCAAACAGCACGUGAAAUUGUUGAAAGGGAAGCGCUUGCAGCCAGACUUGCUUGCAGUUGCUCAUCCGGGCUUUUGCCCGGUGCACUCUUCUGCAGGCAGGCCAGCAUCAGUUUGGGCGGUGGGAUAAAGGUCUCUGUCACGUACCUCUCUUCGGGGAGGCCUUAUAGGGGAGGCGACAUACCACCAGCCUGGACUGAGGUCCGCGCAUCUGCUAGGAUGCUGGCGUAAUGGCUGUAAGCGGCCCGUCUUGAAACACGGACCAAGGAGUCUAACAUCUAUGCGAGUGUUUGGGUGUCAAGCCCGAGCGCGUAAUGAAAGUGAACGGAGGUGGGAACCCGCAAGGGUGCACCAUCGACCGAUCCUGAUGUCUUCGGAAGGAUUUGAGUAAGAGCAUGGCUGUUGGGACCCGAAAGAUGGUGAACUAUGCUUGAAUAGGGUGAAGCCAGAGGAAACUCUGGUGGAGGCUCGCAGCGGUUCUGACGUGCAAAUCGAUCGUCAAAUUUGGGCAUAGGGGCGAAAGACUAAUCGAACUAUCUAGUAGCUGGUUCCUGCCGAAGUU
rnacentral:rRNA from 1 species